rnacentral:rRNA from 1 species
GUAGGUGGCAAGCGUUGUCCGGAAUUAUUGGGCGUAAAGCGCGCGCAGGCGGUCCUUUAAGUCUGAUGUGAAAGCCCACGGCUCAACCGUGGAGGGUCAUUGGAAACUGGGGGACUUGAGUACAGAAGAGGAAAGCGGAAUUCCAAGUGUAGCGGUGAAAUGCGUAGAGAUUUGGAGGAACACCAGUGGCGAAGGCGGCUUUCUGGUCUGUAACUGACGCUGAGGCGCGAAAGCGAGGGGAGCAAACAGGGAUUAGAUACCCUGGUAGUCCACGCCGUAAACGAUGAGUGCUAAGUGUUAGGGGGUUUCCCGCCCCUUAGUGCUGCAGCUAACGCAUUAAGCACUCCGCCUGGGGAGUACGGCCGCAAGGCUG